rnacentral:lncRNA from 1 species
CCAUGAUCAAGCUGCCAUCACCCUCCCACCUCUCCGUGACCUUUCAAGGUACAGCUUCUGUGAGGAUGUGGGGGUCAGAAGAAGGUUUGGAUCUAAAUCCAUACUUAUCUCUGGGCCCAUUUCAGCAACAUUGCAAGUGCAAAAAAUUUACACCCUGAAUGCCCCGACAGCAUUUCAGAGUCACGAGACUAAACAAGACAUUCCUCCUGCCAUCAAAGAAAGAAGCCAACAAGAGCCCAGGUGGUCACAUGGAGCCUGGCUAGCCUGAGACUCAUCUUUAGAUCAUAAUUCUCUACCUGAAAUGACAGCAAGUUCAUGUCCCCUUCAGCAAACCCAGAGCAGGUUUUGUUUCUAUAAUGGAAUGCUCAACUCCUUAAUUAUACCGUGAGAGGCAGAAAUAGGCAUUUUUGC